CAAUUCAUCAUCAUCUGUUAAGUCAUAGUCACUUUCUAUAAAUAAACUAUCACUUUCAUCAUCAGACCUAUUAGCAUGGUCCUUUUCACCAUCAUCCAUCUCUUCAUCCCUAUUAUCCAACUCCUCUGCAAUAACAUGAUCAUCUGGAUGUUGUCGAUUGCUAUCAUUAUUCAGCUCAUCCAAAAUAGUUUUUGUAUCAACAGUCUGUUGUUCGCUGCUACCAACAUCUAACUCCUUACAAAUCGUAUUAGAAAGGGUUUGUUGCUCACCUUGUCUCCCAUCAUCAUUCAAUUUCUUGGGUAUUGUUUGCUCAGUAUCAUCAAACAUUCUAAAC
rnacentral:lncRNA from 1 species